CGCGGGGUAGCGCAGUGGGAGCGCGCUGGGCUCAUAACCCGGAGGUCGUCGGUUCAACUCCGACCCCCGCUACCA
rnacentral:tRNA from 1 species